rnacentral:rRNA from 1 species
AGAGUUUGAUCCUGGCUCAGGGUUAACGCUGGCGGCGCGCAUAACACAUGCAAGUCGAGCGAGGGCUUAUUUCUCGCAAGAGAGAUGAGUUCCUAGCGGCGAACGGGUGAGUAACACGUGGGCAACCUUUCCUAUCGCGGGGGAUAACAGCGGGAAACCGCUGCUAAUACCGCAUGUCGUCACUGGUCGCAAGGCUGGUGAAGAAAGCAGCAAUGCACGAUGGGGUGGGCCCGCGGCCUAUCAGCUAGUCGGUGGGGUAACGGCCUACCGAGGCGAUGACGGGUAGCUGGUCUGAGAGGACGGCCAGCCACACGGGGACUGAGACACGGCCCCGACUCCUACGGGAGGCAGCAGUGAGGAAUCUUCCGCAAUGGGCGAAAGCCUGACGGAGCGACGCCGCGUGUGCGAUGAAGUCCUUCGGGAUGUAAAGCACUGUCGGAGGGGUAGACAAAAAAGACGGUACCCUCCAAGAAAGCCCCGGCUAACUACGUGCCAGCAGCCGCGGUAAUACGUAGGGGGCAAGCGUUAUCCAGAUUUACUGGGCGUAAAGCGCGUGUAGGCGGCUGGUUAGGUGUGGUGUGAAAUCUUCGGGCUCAACCCGAAAAAUGCAUUGCAAACCGGCCUGGCUAGAGUGCAGGAGAGGGAAGCGGAAUUCCAGGUGUAGCGGUGAAAUGCGUAGAUAUCUGGAGGAACACCAGUGGCGAAGGCGGCUUCCUGGCCUGCAACUGACGCUGAGACGCGAAAGCGUGGGGAGCGAACCGGAUUAGAUACCCGGGUAGUCCACGCCCUAAACGUUGUGAACUAGGUGUUGGUCGGAUUGACCCGAUCAGUGCCGCAGCUAACGCAUUAAGUUCACCGCCUGGGGACUACGGCCGCAAGGUUAAAACUCAAAGGAAUAGGCGGGGGCCCGCACAAGCAGCGGAGCGUGUGGUUUAAUUCGAGGCAACGCGAAGAACCUUACCUGGGCUUGACAUGCAGAGGAAAUUUUCGUGAAAGCGAG